GCGCGCAAAUUACCCAAUCCUGACACGGGGAGGUAGUGACAAUAAAUAACAAUACCGGGCGCGUUAGUGUCUGGUAAUUGGAAUGAGUACAAUCUAAAUCCCUUGACGAGGAUCCAUUGGAGGGCAAGUCUGGUGCCAG
rnacentral:rRNA from 1 species